rnacentral:rRNA from 1 species
UGGGGAAUAUUGGACAAUGGGCGAAAGCCUGAUCCAGCAAUGCCGCGUGAGUGAUGAAGGCCUUAGGGUUGUAAAGCUCUUUUACCCGGGAUGAUAAUGACAGUACCGGGAGAAUAAGCUCCGGCUAACUCCGUGCCAGCAGCCGCGGUAAUACGGAGGGAGCUAGCGUUGUUCGGAAAUACUGGGCGUAAAGCGCACGUAGGCGGCUCAGCAAGUCAGGGGUGAAAUCCCGGGGCUCAACCCCGGAACUGCCCUUGAAACUGCUAGGCUAGAAUCCUGGAGAGGCGAGUGGAAUUCCGAGUGUAGAGGUGAAAUUCGUAGAUAUUCGGAAGAACACCAGUGGCGAAGGCGACUCGCUGGACAGGUAUUGACGCUGAGGUGCGAAAGCGUGGGGAGCAAACAGGAUUAGAUACCCCCGUAGUCC